rnacentral:tRNA from 1 species
GCCCUGGUAGUGCAAAUGAUGAAGCACUUGGCUGUUAACCAAAAAGUUGGUGGUUCGAACCCACCCAGCAGCU